ACACUCCCGCCCCUCAGAGCGUCUAGUUCCCUGCGGCUCUGCGCGCUCUCAACCUCCUCAUAACCCCGCCCCCUGCUUCUGGCGCUUUUCUGCAGCUCACCUCUGGCGUAUCCUCUGCUUUGCUCGCAGCUGGGCCUCCGGACUGUUUCCUGGCCCCAGCACCCACUGCCCCAGCGUGUGCCCGCACUAGUGGACAGCAGUAGGCGAGCAGGGAGAAGAAGGCAGUAGGGAGGCAAAUCCACCGCAGUGGCUCCGCACAUCCCAUCUCCCUGCACCGGCUUGAAAGCAUCACACCCAUGCACCCAAUUCACUCGUGCAUUUUCUCGUUUAUGAACAUUUAUGAGCGCCUGCGCCUAACACAAGCUAAUGAGAGGGUAAGUGAGCCCCAGGCUGGACCCCUAGGCCCGCCAUCGUUGUCCUUCCUGUCCUGUUACUGAGGCCUGCCAAAGCUCUUCACUGGUGGUGACCAUCCAGGCUGUGCUCUCAAAGCGUCAACCUAAAUCUAGCUGCUAUAGAGAGAGAGAGAGACAGCAUGUGAACAGGGGAGGAGCAGAGAGAGAGGGAGACACAAUCUGAAGCAGGCUCCAGGCUCUGAGCUGUCAGCGCAGAGCUUGAUGCGGGGCUGGAACCCACGAACUGUGAGAUCAUGACCUGAGCCAAAGUCGGACACUCAACUGACUGAGCCACCCAGGCGCCCCUCAUAUAAUUUUAUAUUUUAGAUGUAUGCAA